GAAAAAGGUUCCGGCCUCAGCCGGCGCACCUGGCGGAGGAGGAACCUCGCGACGCGCUCUCGGGCAUCGGUUUCUCCCAGCAAAGCUUGGAGGGUUUAGCUGCGCGGAGAGCUCAGCGAGCUCUUCUGUGUCUGUUUGGGGCGUGUGGGCUCCGGGAGCGUGAGGACCGGGAAGCUAGGAGGCUCCUUCCCUUCUGGCGGCUCCCUCACUGAGACCGGGCGGUUUGGUUGCGGGGGAAGUGGAGACGAGCCACCCUUGACCUUUGACUGCAAGAACUCACCUUGAGCAGGAUAGAGGCACGUGGACGGUGACCCUCGGGAUGCAAUAAAUGCUGAGACAGAUCAGCAAACAUUGAGUGGGCCAGACACUGUUCUGAAAAAUACGCAGUCGACUUUUGAACAGCACAGGCUUGAACUGCAUGCGGCCACUAAUACUCGGACUUCCUUCUGCCUCUGCCAUCCCUAAGACAGCAAGACCCACCCCUCCUGCUCCUCAGCCUACUCGAUGUGAUGAUGAUGCAGAGAUUCAGAGAGUCUAAGCAACUUUUCUAAAUCAUCUAGCUGGAAUUCAGUAACUGAGCCAGGAUCUACCCCAGGUCUGUCUGACUCCAAAGCCUGUGUCUUCCAGCACACACUGCUGCUGCCUGGGGAAUGUGGAUAUGAUGUCUGGAGCUCUAGCAACCAUAUCAGACCACAAGGAUGAAUGUACACCCCAGGAAUGGAAGAGAGGAAAGCCAGAAAAAGACUCGGUCCCUGAUGGCUGAAGAGCUACCAUACCUGCCCCUAGAUCUUCUAUUUCUGAUCAUCUUCUAUGCAAGGCCUGGAAUGUAAUCAUGGAUAGCCAUGGAUGAUCAGCUUUCAUCAUGUGGGCAUGGAACAAGAUGGAAGGAAGCUGGGGCCCUGAGUGACCUGUGGAGCAGAGGCCUUUGCCCACCCUGGGCUGCCUGAUUUCCCCUGGACUAUCAUGAGACAGAAGAAAAAGCUUCUAUCUUAUUUGAACCACUGUGUUUUGGGAACCUUGGACUAGAGCAGCCUAGCCUUCAUACACUAACAAGGUACAUUACUGACUUCUCCUGUUAGCUCUGUCGUGCUUACAUCAUGAUGCCCAUUUUUCAGGUAAAGAAAUAGUGGCUCAAACAAGGUGAGUGGCCAAAGAUAACAUAGCUCAUAUGUAGCAAAGCAGGGACUUUGAUCUGGGUCUCAGCACUUUGUCCACCAUGGUGUCCACUGGUUGACUCAGGUGAUUCACCUGGGUAACAAGGCUUCCUGAAGGCCACCUGCUGGUAAAUGUCAUUGCCAGUUCAUUGACCGGGAGCCCCCAUGUGUUUCUACCAAGACCCCGCUCCUCUCUUCGCAUACAGUAAUCUGUUGUAUACACUUUGUACCUCACCCACAAGCGUGUGAAAAGCCUUAGCUGUUCUGGUGCCAGGACUAAUGGGAGCUGCUUACAGUCUAUGAGGACAAUCAGACUUGGCCGCCUGCCUUCUUUCCAUAUAAUUUUUAAUAAGCCAGUAAUAUCUCUCCAAGCACUACAGACCUCUGGCUUGGACCAGGAAACCUGGAACUGUUUAAGAGAACAUUAAUUUCCUUUGAGCUAGGAUUACAGGCCAUCUAAAACUUCUUAAUGAAUGGCCACACUGCCUUUUUGAAGCAUUUGUGUAUUUGCCAACACAGACUCGAAGGUUGCAUUAGAUAUUGGGAGUUGUCUUUUCUGGAAGUUAGGGUCUUCUAGAAGCUGACGGGCGAUGGAGGCCUGAUGCUCUGCCAUUUCUUUGGUGAGACCUCUGGACUGCUUCGUUCAUAGUCCUCUUUCCCACAUAUGCUCCCCUGAUGUCUUACUCUUUUAUUUUAUGGGUUUUUGGUAACUGAAACAUUUUAAGACUCAAUUCCGCCACUUUGUUGAAGAUAAAAUCAAGUUCAAACCCUGCUUUAUUUUAUUUUUCUUUUUUUUGGACGGAACUAGUGAGGAAACUGUGUGUGCAAACCCCAGAAAACCCACUUGAGACCUGAUGCUAAUUGGCUGGAUGAUGUUCAAUAGGACACGGCUCCACUGAGCCUCAAUUUCCUGAUGAGGGUUAAACUGAUGAUUCUUAACCAGGUCUGACAUUCUGUAAAUUAAGCAUACUUGCUUCUGAUUUCACAGUUUCCAUGGGAUCAGAGGAUUGAAAUGUCAAGGAACCUCCCUUGAUGUCCCCCUAAGACUCUGAAUUGAACUGUGAUGAGGACCCUUUUGAGAAUCUUUCAGUGAUCCCCUUCUCUAGGAAGGAAGGGUGAAGUAUGCUUUGUAAGAGAGAUUGUCUAUUUGUCUUUUAUCUCCUGAUUUCAAACACAGUGGUUCCGCUAAGCUGCAUCUUUUUUGUUCUUUCUGCUGUGAAAAUAAUUUUGUCGGAAAAUGUAACCAGUGCAAUUAUACUGAAAUUUCAUAUGAAAUGUUAAUAAAAUGGAUGUGUGACCAAUAAAAUACUUGAUGCCAAAUUAAAAA
rnacentral:lncRNA from 1 species